UGUCUGUAAUUCUUUUGGCAGCCAAUAGGAGAGCUGGAUUUGUCCCAAUUCUCCUCCAUCUUUUCUGCACGAUCCGUUCCGUUUACCAUCUGACCGACAGCAACCAAUCUCCGUUCGCGGCUGCGGUCCCGUGACCAAAACGGGCUCAGCCAAUCAGGUUGCUGUAUUUGUCCCUAUUUCGAGAAUCCAACUUUUAGCAGCCAAUAGGAGAGCCGGAUUUGUCCCAAUGUCCUCCAUCUUUUCUUCACGACCCGACCGACAGCAACCAGCCAAACUCUCCGUGCGGCAGCCAAUAGAAGAGCCGGAUCAGCCUCACCUGUCUACCGUCAGUGCUCCGCUUACCAUGUGACCGACAGCAGCGAGUCAGUUUUCUACAUCCAUCUCCAGCUGCAGGCCAGUCGUGGAGCUGCUGGGCCAGAUGUUCAGCAGGCCUGUCUGUGCCACAUUUUACUUUAAUGUAGUUUUUACAAGUUGAUGUCAAAGUUCAGCUUUAUUUGGUAAAGAAGGCGGAAAAACUGUUGAUUCAUUGAUUGUGUUUGAUAAAUCAUUUUCUGCUUUCACUGUAUUCCAACAUUCAGCUCAUAUAUAGUAUAAAUAUGAAGUCACUACAUUUGGUGAUGGUAGUCCUGGUUUUACUGGCAUGGUUCAGUUGUUCACUUAUUGUUGUUCUAACUACAUGAAGUCCAGUUUUAUUUCCCUUUUUAAUUAAUUGUGUCCAACAACUGUCACUAACUUCUAUAACACUGGUUUGUACUUCAUGUAACAUCAUCUAUAAGAGUUACUGAAGAGGAAAAUGUUUAAUUCUCUCUGUGCUGUUUCAGCAGACGGAUGCUUUUCAUUUCGUGUUUUGUGAUGAAUUCAUCUAAUCUAAGUAUUUUGGGGAAUAGAAACAGGUCUGUAAUUUGAGAGGAAUGUGUCAGUCUCCAGACUUAUAUGUGGGUAUUACUUUUGCUGUUUUCAUUUUAUUUGGAAAUACUCCGUCUUUCAGGGAUUGGUUGAAUAUGUAUAUAAUGGGUUUAACCACACAGUCAAUAAUGUUCUUAACCAUGAACAUGUCUAUAUCAUCUAUACGAGUUACUGAAGAGGAGAAAAUGUUUAAUUCUCUCUGCUGUUUCAGCAGACGGCUGCUUUUCAUUUCUAGUUCUUUUGUCAUUUUUUCAUAUUAACUGAGUCAAAGAUCUUCUAAAUCAACCAUCACUACAGUACUGUUCUGUUAUACUCACAUACACCACCUACUGUGUGGAAGUGUGGAGGAACACAUAAAACAAACUCAGAUCCAACAUUUUCAUCCUGUAAAAAAAUGAGGAGUUGUAAGAAUUAUAACUAAAACUUCUUACAGAGAACUAACAAAGCCAAUCUUCACCAAAUUAAAAGCACUAAAGUUUAACGAUCUAGUUUUACUUCAAAACUCCUCAAAUCAUGUACAGAGUUAAAAACCAACAGCUGCCAAAUAAUAUCUAAAGUUUCUAAAUGAUUUGAUACAGUGUGUCUUUUUGACUUGUUUAUUGCUUUAUUUUCUUGUGUUGUUUUGAAUUUUUUUUUUGUUUUUGAGUUUGAUCUUAGUUAUAGUUUUUUAAAUGGGGUUAAUACUAGAAAGGUUCCUUGCACACUUUUUAAUCAUUGAAUGAUUUUUCUACAUCUGCCCAUCUCCAGCUGUUGAGCCAGAUGUUCCACUGACUCACGAGAGGGAGUGUAAGGAGGGGCAGCAGCAACACCACCACCACCACCACCACCACCACCACCACCACCACCACCACCACCAGCAGCAGCAGCAGCAGCACCAUCACCACCAGCAGCAGCAUCAUCAUCACCUGUAGCAGCACCAGCAGCACCACCACCUGUAGCAGCACCAGCAGCACCACCACCACAGCAGCAGCAGCAGCACAUACAGCAGCACCACCACCAGCAACACCUACACCAAAAGGUCCAGACUCUGUGAGGAGUUUACCUCCCUGAGGAGCCGCAGCAGUCGUCUUCCUCCUCCUCCACCACCACCACCACCUCCUCCUCUGCUGACAGCAGUCUGUGCCACAUUUUACUCUGGUGGAGUUUCUAUAAGUUGGUGUAACAUGUAUUCAGCUCAUAUAUUCACUAUAAAUAUGAAGUCAUGUUCUCUCUCUAUAAGGAGUUAAAGCAUUCUCUUUCGCUCUCGACUUUCUCUCUCUUUUCUACAUUGUUAAGUUUCCCUGCCUUUGUAUUUUGUUAUUUUUAAACGUUUGAAUAAAGAAUACAAGUUCUCCGGAUUCGGAUGCUCCGCAGCGUCCCUGAACGCUUCACACAGAGCGGCCGGACAGCGCCUCCCAGCGGCGGAUCGGAGCAACUGCAGCGGUUUCCUGAUCAAGUUUAAUGAUGUUUAUGAUCUUUUUAAACUGUCCGCAGAGUAAACGUGAGAUAUUAAUUAUGUGGAUUUAACUUAAAUGACUUAUUUUACAUGUGAGAAGUUGUGUAAUGUAAUAAAAGAGUAGUUGCAGAGUUUUUAUUUGUCUCCACAGAAAGAUGGAAAACAUGUCCUGCUCAUCAGAAAAAGC